GACGAACGCUGGCGGCGUGCUUAACACAUGCAAGUCGAACGGUGAAGCGCCUUCCUUUUUGGUGGGUGUGGAUGAGUGGCGAACGGGUGAGUAACACGUGAGUAACCUGCCCCCUUCUUCUGGAUAACCGCAUGAAAGUGUGGCUAAUACGGGAUAUUCUGGGUCUGUCGCAUGAUGGGUCUGGGAAAGAUAUUGUUUCGGUGGGGGAUGGGCUCGCGGCCUAUCAGCUUGUUGGUGGGGUGAUGGCCUACCAAGGCGGUGACGGGUAGCCGGCCUGAGAGGGUGGACGGUCACACUGGGACUGAGACACGGCCCAGACUCCUACGGGAGGCAGCAGUGGGGAAUAGUGGACAAUGGGCGCAAGCCUGAUGCAGCGACGCCGCGUGCGGGAUGGAGGCCUGCGGGUUGUGAACCUCUUUCGCCAGUGAAGCAGGCCUGCCUCGUUUGUGGGUGGGUUGACGGUAGCUGGAUAAGAAGCGCCGGCUAACUACGUG
rnacentral:rRNA from 1 species